AAACUAAUUUUUUAUGUUUUGAAAACAUAAUAAGAAUAAUUUAUUCUUAGUUUU
rnacentral:tRNA from 1 species